rnacentral:rRNA from 1 species
UGCAGAAUCCCGUGAACCAUCGAGUCUUUGAACGCAAGUUGCGCCCGAGGGAUCCUCCCGAGGGCACGCCUGCCUGGGCGUUAGAAGCCCAUCAACACUCGGUCAACCUUGUUACAGAGGAAGGACUUGAUGUGGACAAUGGACCUCCGAGCCAGCAAUGGCACGGUGGGCUGAAGUUAAUGGUCGUCGGAUGAUAACAUGAUCGGCGAGUGGUGGGCUAACUGCGCAUGCCAAUCAUUGCUACCAUUCCGACGUAUGGCCUCUAUACCCCAGUCGUAACGAGGGGAUUGUUGUUGCAGCAGCAUGUUGUUUCACAAUUUCGGACCGAUACCCCAGGUCAGGCGGGGCCACCCGCUGAGUUUAAGCAUAUAAAUAAGCGGAGGAGAAGAAACUUACAAGGAUUCCCCUAGUAACGGCGAGCGAACCGGGAGUAGCCCAGCCUUAGAAUCGUGGCGGCCUUGCUGCCCGA